UACGUAGGGUGCAAGCGUUAAUCGGAAUUACUGGGCGUAAAGGGUGCGUAGGCGGUUAUGAAAGACGGAUGUGAAAUCCCUGGGCUUAACCUAGGAACUGCAUUUGUGACUACAUGGCUAGAGUGUGUCAGAGGGGGGUAGAAUUCCACGUGUAGCAGUGAAAUGCGUAGAGAUGUGGAGGAACACCGAUGGCGAAGGCAGCCCCCUGGGCUGAGAUUGACGCUCAGGCACGAAAGCGUGGGGAGCAAACAGG
rnacentral:rRNA from 1 species